AUUGAACGCUGGCGGCAGGCCUAACACAUGCAAGUCGAGCGGAUGAAGGGAGCCUGCUCCUGGAUUCAGCGGCGGACGGGUGAGUAAUGCCUAGGAAUCUGCCUGGUAGUGGGGGAUAACGUCCGGAAACGGGCGCUAAUACCGCAUACGUCCUGAGGGAGAAAGUGGGGGAUCUUCGGACCUCACGCUAUCAGAUGAGCCUAGGUCGGAUUAGCUAGUUGGCGGGGUAAAGGCCUACCAAGGCGACGAUCCGUAACUGGUCUGAGAGGAUGAUCAGUCACACUGGAACUGAGACACGGUCCAGACUCCUACGGGAGGCAGCAGUGGGGAAUAUUGGACAAUGGGCGAAAGCCUGAUCCAGCCAUGCCGCGUGUGUGAAGAAGGUCUUCGGAUUGUAAAGCACUUUAAGUUGGGAGGAAGGGCAGUAAGUUAAUACCUUGCUGUUUUGACGUUACCAACAGAAUAAGCACCGGCUAACUUCGUG
rnacentral:rRNA from 1 species